CCUACGGGCGGCAGCAGUGGGGGAUAUUGCACAAUGGGGGGAACCCUGAUGCAGCGACGCCGCGUGUGGGAAGACGGUCCUCUGGAUUGUAAACCACUGUCCCCAGGGACGAAAAUGACGGUACCUGGGGAGGAAGCUCCGGCCAACUACGUACCAGCAGCCGCGUUCAUACGUAGGGAGCGAGCGUUGUCCUGAAUUACUGGGUGUAAAGGGAGCGUAGGCGGGGAUGCAAGUUGGGUGUCAAAACUACCGGCUCAACUGGUAGUCGCACUCAAAACUGCAGCUCUUGAGUGAAGUAGAGGCAGGCGGAAUUCCUAGUGUAGCGGUGAAAUGCGUAGAUAUUAGGAGGAACACCAGUGGCGAAGGCGGCCUGCUGGGCUUUUACUGACGCUGAGGCUCGAAAGUGUGGGGAGCAAACAGGAUUAGAUACCCUAGUAGUC
rnacentral:rRNA from 1 species